rnacentral:rRNA from 1 species
GGCGACGAUCCGUAGCGGGUCUGAGAGGAUGAUCCGCCACACUGGGACUGAGACACGGCCCACGACUCCUACGGGAGGCAGCAGUGGGAAUUUUGGACAAUGGCGAAAGCCUGAUCCAGCCAUGCCGCGUGAGUGAAGAAGGCCUUCGGGUUGUAAAGCUCUUUCAGGUGGAAAGAAAACGCAUAGGUUAAUACCUUGUGCGGAUGACGUUACCAUCAGAAGAAGCACCGGCUAACUACGUGCCAGCAGCCGCGGUAAUACGUAGGGUGCGAGCGUUAAUCGGAAUUACUGGGCGUAAAGCGUGCGCAGGCGGUUAUGUAAGACAGAUGUGAAAAUCCCCGGGCUCAACCUGGGAACUGCGUUUGUGACUGCAUAACUAGAGUACGGCAGAGGGAGGUGGAAUUCCGCGUGUAGCAGUGAAAUGCGUAGAUAUGCGGAGGAACACCGAUGGCGAAGGCAGCCUCCUGGGCCAGUACUGACGCUCAUGCACGAAAGCGUGGGGAGC